CCUACGGGAGGCAGCAGUGGGGAAUUUUGGACAAUGGGGGCAACCCUGAUCCAGCAAUGCCGCGUGAGUGAAGAAGGCCUUCGGGUUGUAAAGCUCUUUUGUCAGGGAAGAAACAGCAGCUCUAACACAGACUGCGAAUGACGGUACCUGAAGAAUAAGCACCGGCUAACUACGUGCCAGCAGCCGCGGUAAUACGUAGGGUGCGAGCGUUAAUCGGAAUUACUGGGCGUAAAGCGUGCGCAGGCGGUUAUACAAGACAGGCGUGAAAUCCCCGGGCUUAACCUGGGAAUGGCGUCUGUGACUGUAUAGCUAGAGUGUGUCAGAGGGGGGUGGAAUUCCACGUGUAGCAGUGAAAUGCGUAGAUAUGUGGAGGAACACCAAUGGCGAAGGCAGCCCCCUGGGAUAACACUGACGCUCAUGCACGAAAGCGUGGGGAGCAAACAGGAUUAGAUACCCUGGUAGUCCACGCCCUAAACGAUGCUGACUAGUUGUUGGGAAUUUACAUUCUCAGUAACGUAGCUAACGCGUGAAGUCGAGCCGCCGUGGGUAGGUUACGGUUCGUCGAAGAAGUUAAACGUUACGAAGUUAGAGUUAGACGGCGUUGGAGACGUUGCCGACGGACGACGACGAGGGGAGGUAGGAG
rnacentral:rRNA from 1 species